rnacentral:rRNA from 1 species
GUAUUUUAACUGUACAAAGGUAGCAUAAUCAUUUGUCUCUUAAUUAGGGACUAGUAUGAAUGAUUGAACGAGAUAAUAACUGUCUCUUUAUAAAUUAUAGAAUUUUAUUUUUAAGUUAAAAAGCUUAAAUUUAUUUAAAAGACGAGAAGACCCUAUAGAGUUUUAUAAAUUUAUUAAUAAUUAAUAUUUAGUAAUUAUAAUUAUUUAUUAAAAAUUUAUUUUAUUGGGGUGAUAUAAAAAUUUAAUUAACUUUUUAUAAAUUAAAACAUUAAUAGUUGAAUUUAUGAUCCAAUAUUUAUUGAUUAAAAGAUUUAAUUACCUUAGGGAUAACAGCGUAAUUUUUUUAUAGAGUUCUUAUCGAAAAAAAAGAUUGCGACCUCAAUGUUGGAUUAAAAUUAAUUUUUGGCGUAGAAGUUAAAAUAUUAGGUCUGUUCGACCUUUAAAAUUUUACAUGAUCUGAGUUUAAAUCGGCGUGAGCCAGGUUGGUUUCUAUCUUUAAUAAAAUUAAAUAUUUUAGUACGAAAGGACCAAGUAUUUAUAAAAUUUAUUUUAUAAAUGAA